rnacentral:rRNA from 1 species
GGGGAAUAUUGCACAAUGGAGGAAACUCUGAUGCAGCAACGCCGCGUGAGUGAUGAAGGUCUUCGGAUUGUAAAACUCUGUCUUAUGGGACGAUAAUGACGGUACCAUAGGAGGAAGCCACGGCUAACUACGUGCCAGCAGCCGCGGUAAUACGUAGGUGGCAAGCGUUGUCCGGAUUUACUGGGCGUAAAGGAUGUGUAGGCGGAUAUUUAAGUGAGAUGUGAAAUCCCCGGGCUUAACUUGGGGGCUGCAUUUCAAACUGGAUGUCUAGAGUGCAGGAGAGGAAAGCAGAAUUCCUAGUGUAGCGGUGAAAUGCGUAGAGAUUAGGAAGAAUACCAGUGGCGAAGGCGGCUUUCUGGACUGUAACUGACGCUGAGGCAUGAAAGCGUGGGGAGCAAAC